UACGUAGGUGGCAAGCGUUGUCCGGAUUUACUGGGCGUAAAGGGCGUGCAGGCGGUCUGCUAAGUCUAGGGUGAAAGCUCCCGGCUCAACUGGGAGAGGUCCUUGGAUACUGGCGGACUUGAGGGAGGUAGAGGAGAGUGGAAUUCCCGGUGUAGUGGUGAUAUGCGUAGAUAUCAGGAGGAACACCGGUGGCGAAGGCGGUUCUCUGGGCCUGUACUGACGCUGAGGAACGAAAGCGUGGGGAGCGAACAGG
rnacentral:rRNA from 1 species